rnacentral:lncRNA from 1 species
CAACAUUUUAUUCCUAAAAACAUGGUGAAAAUGUAUUUUUUUCUGGCUGGGCGCCACAGCAAAAUGGCUGCCCACUGCUCCGGGUGUGUGUUUACAGUGUGUGUGUGAUCACUGCUGUGUGUGUGCACUUGGAUGGGAUAAAUGCAGAGCAUGAAUUCAGAGUAUGGGCCACCAUUCUUGGCCUCACGUCACAUAUUUAACAAGAAUUUUGAACCUGGUUUUAUCCAAUGUUCAGACUUAUGUUCUGGAAAUGUAUACAAAUUAUUGCAUUUUUUUAAAUUAGGUAAUGCCUCAUUUGCAUAUUUAAACAUAAUAUUUCAGAAACUUGUAAUACAGAACAAUUGUCUUAAUGUACUGUGAUUAAUCAACUGGAGGAAGUUUAGAGGUACCUGUUAGUGAUAUCAGUUUUCACCGAAUCCACCUGUAGUGUCUUGCCAUAAACUUCAACAUCAAACAAUUAAAACAAACCUUUUGUGAAAGUCUUAAUUUUUAAAUGUUCAGUAAAGCACAACGCUAACAACACCGAGGUCAUGGGUUCAGUUCCCAGGGAAUGAAUGCAUGAUCUGAUUAAAUGUAUUCCUUUACUUGGCUAUGAUUGAAAAGCAUCUGCCACAUGCAUAAAUGUAAAGUAUCUUGUAUUUUGAAGGUGAGAGGUAAGCUUCAUCAGGAGCGGAGCCUGAAACUAGAAGCGUUCCAGCAGGUGGACAAACUACAAAGUCAGAUCCACGGUUUUGAGUCAGCGUUGUGUAAAUCUACAUUACCUUCAGGACGCCAAAGCUCCUCCUCAAGAAGGCUGUAUUUAAGAAACGCAUCUGCAGGUUUGCUCAGGAACAACUCGGUUAUGUCUUUUACAAACAGCUUUAUAAACACAACUGAUGAGCUCAGUACUGAAAUGGGUUGGAGAGAGACAUGGACGCCUCUGGACAGACCCAAAACAAACUCCAAUCGUCUUCGUCUGGACAUUUCAGAGGCGCUGUUACCCAGUCUUCCUGAUGGAAACGCUUCUUCUAACCACCUGACAUACCAGAAUCUUAGAUUGGGUCACAAGUAA